rnacentral:lncRNA from 1 species
AAGAAUGGAAAAGCCAAUUUUCAUGACUAGUUUCCAUCAAGGAACCUAGUGGAGCAGAUUUCUCUUUUUCCUUCACACCCUGAUUCCCCUCCCUGUUUAAACUGGUGAAUCAUUCAUUUGUUAACUUUUCAAAGAUUGAGCACCUUAGAUUCCUUGAGAUGCACCUAAAAAGAUGGGGAUUGAGGAGUAAAAAAUAGGGUAAAAGUCUGUAAGUGCAGGAUAAGAACUUAAUCCAUAAGCUAGGUUCAUUAACCCUGUCUUUGUGGUCAACGAUAGUUGGUAGCCC